ACUUAGUGGCGGACGGGUGAGUAACGCGUGGAUAACCUGCCUUACACUGGGGGAUAACACUUAGAAAUAGGUGCUAAUACCGCAUAAGCGCACAGAGCCGCAUGGCUCAGUGUGAAAAACUCCGGUGGUGUAAGAUGGAUCCGCGUCUGAUUAGCUAGUUGGCGGGGUAGAAGCCCACCAAGGCGACGAUCAGUAGCCGGCCUGAGAGGGUGAACGGCCACAUUGGGACUGAGACACGGCCCAAACUCCUACGGGAGGCAGCAGUGGGGAAUAUUGCACAAUGGGGGAAACCCUGAUGCAGCAACGCCGCGUGAGUGAAGAAGUCAUUCGUGAUGUAAAGCUCUAUCAGCAGGGAAGAAAAUGACGGUACCUGAGUAAGAAGCCCCGGCUAACUACGUGCCAGCAGCCGCGGUAAUACGUAGGGGGCAAGCGUUAUCCGGAUUUACUGGGUGUAAAGGGAGCGUAGACGGCCAGACAAGUCUGAAGUGAAAAUCCAGCGCUUAACGUUGGAAGUGCUUUGGAAACUGCCGGGCUAGAGUGCAGGAGGGGCAGGCGGAAUUCCUAGUGUAGCGGUGAAAUGCGUAGAUAUUAGGAGGAACACCAGUGGCGAAGGCGGCCUGCUGGACUGCAACUGACGUUGAGGCUCGAAGGCGUGGGGAGCAAACAGGAUUAGAUACCCUGGUAGUCCACGCGGUAAACGAUGAUUACUANGUGUCGGGGGGCUAGAGCCCUUCGGUGCCGUCGCAAACGCAAUAAGU
rnacentral:rRNA from 1 species